UCCAGUUUUGUUGCAAAAGAAACAAGUUUCUUUGUCUUCCUUCUUUUUCUUUUGUGCUGGACCCUUAUGAGCAGCUUCAUGUUCCUUCCUCUUUUUCUUGCCCUUAUCCUUAGAAGUGCUUGCCAAGUGAGCACUUUUAGUCCUUUCUUGCUUCAACCUUUCUUCCUCUUGCACACAAUAUGAAAUGAGCUCAUUUAGAGACCAUUUAUUCUUCUGACAGUUAUAACUGACCUUAAAUUGACUGAAUUGUGCAGGAAGCGAGAUCAAUACCAAAUGGACGAGCAAGUCAUCAGACAGCUUGAGCUUUAGUC
rnacentral:lncRNA from 1 species